rnacentral:rRNA from 1 species
AGUGAACGCUGGCGGUAGGCCUAACACAUGCAAGUCGAACGGCAGCACGGGAAGCGCUUGCUCUUACGGUUGGCGAGUGGCGGACGGGUGAGGAAUACAUCGCCUUCUUCUUUUUCGUGGGUGAUAACGGAGGGAAACUUACGCUAAUACCGCAUACUACCUACGGGUGAAAGCAGGAGAUCUUCAGGCCUUGCGCGUUUGAAUGAGACGAUGUCGCAUUAGCUAGUUGGCGGGGUAAAGGCUCACCAAGGCAACGAUGCGUAGCUGGUCUGAGAGGAUGAUCAGCCACACUGGAACUGAGACACGGUCCAGACUCCUACGGGAGGCAGCAGUGGGGAAUCUUGCGCAAUGGGCGCAAGCCUGAUGCAGCAAUGCCGCGUGAGUGAUGAAGGCCUUCGGAUUGUAAAGCCCUUUUGUUAGGGAAGAAAAGCUGCAGGUUAAUCCGCCGCCGUCCUGACGGUACCCAAAGAAUAAGCCCCGGCUAACUUCGUG